ensembl:lncRNA
AAGGAGCUGAGAAGCUGUUCGGAGACCUCGGCUGUUUCUGUUGGAAUAAUGUGGAAUCUAAUGUCGUACGACAAGCCGGUUUUAUCUGGCCUGCUUUAAAACAAGACGCUCGGAGCCAUACAGAAGAAAAAAUGCAAAUCUGUGCUAAUUGCUAAAGAGAAAAGGAGACGAGGGCCAGUUAAUCAAGAAAGCUGCUUAAAGCAAUGCCAAAAUAACUCCACACCUCCUGACCUGAACAAACUGAGCACGCCACUGUGCAUGUGGCUUUCCACAGAAACUCAGCUGGGCUUUAAGGAUUGCUCUUAAGCCUGACAUGUUUGGCAGCUAUACAGCUUAAAUGUGACAACACUCCUUUUAGAGAUCUGCUUCCAUUCAUAUACGGAGGGUGGUGCGGACGGACCAGUACAUCACUGGGGCCGAGCUCCCAAACAUCGAAGACAUCUAUGCCAGGCGGUGUCUGAGGAAGGCCCCAAAAAUUGGAGAAGGGAAGUCCCACAGGGAGACAUUUCUGAGUUGUCUGAAGAACGCUGCACAUCUCUGAUGUCUAUGGCUCUCUCCCGUGUCUGGGGAGCGCACAGAGCUCCAUGGAACGCCCGCUCCUCUGAGCUGGAAGGACGCCAGUCGUCCGGGGAUCCAAACCUUGGCCCAAGGCCCGGCAGCAGCCUUCCACAGCCCUCCCCUCGCUCUUUCGCAAAUCCAUGUGUGCCAGCAGGCUUUGCUGGUAUCUAAUCUAAACCGGGUUUUUGUUUGUCUGCUGAGCUGGUUGAUGAAGAGGAAGCAGUCGGGGAGGAGAUAGAAGGGCAGUACAACGCUGGUGUCAGUAAGAUACCAGUUAUGCCUAGACCCUCCGAGCCCCUACAGGGACUGUUGGCCAAUCAGACCAAAGGUUUUCAAUGGUCCGAUAAGAGCUACGAACAGUUAAACACCCUACAGGAUAUGGCUCUGCUGUAUUGUAAUGUCUUACUGCUGUAUCGUCACAUUUGAUGCUAAAAUGCCGUAAGGUAGGUAGCUACAGUAGCUUAAGCCUGUCAAGCAUUUCUCUGUGUUAUCCAUGCCACCCAGGUCAGACAGAUGAUUCUGGUUUCAUUAGAAUCUCCUGCUAAAUAGCAAACAAGCUGAGAGGGAGGUUUGUGGGUCGAGUGAGGGUCGGCUGACUAGCGACUUUAGAGAGGCUCUCAAACAUCCAAUUUUUUUCUGAAUAAAUGUAGCAGACAAGCAGAAAAUAAAUAGGUAAAAACUCUCACCCACUUAAGGCCCAUCGUCUUUUCUGUGAGGACACUGGAGGUAAGGGGAAGUUCAUGUCAAGUAAUGGUUCCUGCUGUAUAAUCAAAACACUCUCCAUAGUUCAUUGCCUUGCAGACGAUGUAUACCUGCUUCAGUGUGGUGCUGAGUAAGUCUGUUUUGGUGACGUAUUACCGCCACACCAGCACUCACCAGGCAUAAAGGCAGUCAAAUUCCACAUGACCGGUAAUUAGGCUUCUCCAAUUUCUGAUGCUGAUGAUGGUCAUUAGUAGCCUACCAAACUAGCUAACUGCCUGGCACUCUGCACUCUAUUGUCCCUCUAAUCACUCUGACAUCAAUUCAGAUGUAAUUGAAAAUCUAAUCAAACACUUCAUGAGUGCCCAUGCUCAUGUUGCACAACAUUUCUAUAGGCUUUGCAAUUACGCGAGAAAACAGAGUGAUGGCCUCUAUUAAAAAAGAGGCGGAUCCCAUCAGCUUUCUACAGGCUAGGCCUACUGGCUUUAUUCACAACUUUCCUAAUAUUAAACACAUUGCUUAUUUUUUCAACAGGAGUAUAGCCUACCUGGCUGGCAUGAAAAUGAACCACAGGAAAAGCAUCCUCCAUUCACUAUUUAAGUGUAUAGAUGACAUGCAUUUUUUCUUGCUUGUGAAUGAUGACUAGCAUAAGAAACAAUACCUUUUUUUUAGCUACGUUUUUAAAUCAUAGUCGCACACCUCAUGUAGCCUAGCCCAUAGGCCUAUAUGUUUUGAUAAGGUUUGUAUCACAAUUAAAGUGGCCAAAUAACUUAUUUAAAUUAAGCAUAUUAACCUGCUGUACUCAGAGUAUGCUAUUCUGUUCUUCUGAAAUAGACUACAUUAUCUUCAUAUCAUGCUUUUUUUAGACCUGUCUAAAAUAAAUAAUGGAUUUAUUGUGAAAGUGUACGCUAUAUUACAUCAAUUUAUUAGACUUCUUAAAAGGUAGAUGUUCCAAAGGUCUGCAUCAGUGGCUUGUAGGCUAUCUGUGGAAUCCAGGAAAUGCUUAAUAUCUUUAUGUUUAUUAACGGUCAAUUACCAUUAGUUUUUUGCUUGAAAAUCACUGGCUGACAAAUUUUACGCCACAGCCCUAGUGCUGAGUAA